UAACGGAACCCAUAAUACAGCUGUGGUUGUGCACAGCAGCUGGUUAUGGCGUCCGUUUC
ensembl:miRNA gmo-mir-462 gmo-mir-462